GAGGAAACAGAGGAUGAAGACGGCAUCACAGAGGAGACACAGUAACUGAUGGAGAGAGAGAGAGAGAGAGAGAGAGGGGGGAGCUCUGAGCAAAACUGAGAGCUCGGAAGGGAAGAUGCCAGACAAAAUAUGAAGAAACGAGAGACAAACAAAGCUUCUGAAUCUGAGUUUGAAACGGGAGACGUUGAAGGCAAAUUCAGGAUUUCUGGGGAUUUUUAAAGUCGUCCAGUCUUCCGGACGUUAAUCAUAGAUGCUGUGAUUCCCUUUGACGUUCUGUCAGAUGGGAUUUCGAUAUUUAAAGCCAGAGCUCCCAACAUCCUUCCUGCUCUCUUCUGGAACUAUCCGCAUGGUUUCUUGGCCUCUGACCUUUAAAGUUCUCCUUCUGUUUUCCUCUUCAAACCAUCAUUUCCAGUUGAAAGAGGACCCGUCCUCCAUUCUUGGUUAGUACAGAGGACAUCUUCAUAACUCCUUGAUUCCUGAAAGAGGGUCGUUUUGACUUGGAACAGAACUCGGGGUUGUGUUAUUUUGGAUGUGUACAAUCAAGACAAGCCUGUGGAGCACCGGACGAAGACUGAAAGCCUCAAUCUCACUUGGUUCUGUUGCAGUGAAAGAUUCAUGAACCUAAGCAUGCUUCUUGUUCUCUCUCUGUUCACGGCAAAAACAACUCCACCGUCAAGCAGCUUCAUCACUCAGCACAGCUAACAGGACUGAGAUUCUCAAGGUAAACAAGCUGUCUGAACGCUGAGGAUUGUUUAGUAAGAGUGACAGAACUGGACCAGUCGGACCGAAGGGUGCAGGGGGAGAGGACGGGGACCCAGGCCGCGUGGGGCUUCCAGCGGUUCUUCCAGGUCCUGCAGGGAUGGAUGCAAUGCCAGAAUAAAAAACAGGACGGGAAGUUUCUGCUGUCCCACUGGUACGAUGCAUGCUGGCGUGGCGCCCCCUGGAGGUGGGGACCAGUGAUAUUAAACAUGCUCCCCCAUGGCCAUCAUCACAGGUGUCGAGCCAUCGCGGAGGAGCCAGAGAACGACCGUGAGGAGAGGAUUCUGGCAAUAUUGGGGAUCAUCGGCACCGUGCUCAACCUCCUGGUGGUUAUCUUCGUCUACAUCUACACCACCUUCUAAGAUCUCAAAAGACAGGAUGCCUUCAUCUGAAGAAAUGGCUGUAAAGCAGAGGAGAACAGACUGGUAUCAUUUUUCAUCACCAAAUACCAUCAAGCAGUGCCUGACCUAUUCAAUCAGUCGAGAAAACACAAGCAUUACAUUCAAAACCACCCUGAGACCUUUACGUUUCAGUUAAUAUGAAAGAUCGCUUACACGGUUGUUAAUUAUUUGUAUAUGUGUUCAUAGUUCAUUUUGUAUAGUCUUGAUUAUAAUUGCAUGUUCUCUGAUUUCUUGCGUACGGUAAGUAAUUAUAUGCUAUUUCAGAUGUGUGUGAGUUUCACUUAAAGCUGACCUUUUCUACUUGUUCUGGAGCCAAGCAAAAUGAAGGUCCAGACGUUGACGAUCUGACAUGCCAACCCGAUCUCACGGCAAUUCGUACAUUUUUCACAAGAUGGCUUAUUCGUACGAAUUCGUAUAACCACACUCGUACAAAUUCAUACGAUUGUUGCCAAAUCGUACGUAUUUUAUGAUUUGACAAUUCGUAUGAAUUUGUACGAAUGACCUACACCUAACCCCGCCCCUAAACCUAACCGUCACUGGGGUCGUAUAAAAUCGUACGCGUGAGGUCGUACAAAUUUGUACGAAUAAGCCACCUCGUAAAAUACGUACGAAUUGGUCGUGAGAUAUCGUUGGACAUGCAGAAAUAAGAGUGGGAAUGGUUAUUGAGUUUCUUGUUUUAUGUUGAAUUGUCUCUAUAUAAAGCACAACAGAGCAGAAUGCCACAACGAUGUCUUGUUCUCAGGUGUUUAGCUGGGUUAGUAUAGGAACGCUUACUUGAAAAGUGAAGGCACAUUGAUGACAGUCAGUCUCUGUUGUUGCAGUCAUGCACGUGAUGUCUGGUCUCGGUUUACACUUUCUGCUUAGUGUGCUUUUUGCAACUAAAAACUUAAACCUGAUUAAAACACUGUUGCAAUAGUUUUGUACAACAAAAAUGGUUUGACAGUCGGAGAAAUGUGAAAUGAAAGAGAAAGAUGGCAAUAUAAAUGUUCUUUUAUAACAUCAUAAUACAAGUUUUGACUGUUGAAAUGGGCUUUUAGCUUCUUCCUCAAUGUUUUGAAAGUUGAAAAGAGGAUCGAUCUGAUGUUUCUUGUAAUUAAAAUGAAAAAUGAAAUACA